rnacentral:rRNA from 1 species
AUUGAACGCUGGCGGCAGGCCUAACACAUGCAAGUCGAGCGGGGUUUUCAGACCUAGCGGCGGACGGGUGAGUAAUGCGUAGGAAGCUACCCGAUAGAGGGGGAUACCAGUUGGAAACGACUGUUAAUACCGCAUAAUGUCUACGGACCAAAGUGUGGGACCUUCGGGCCACAUGCUAUCGGAUGCGCCUACGUGGGAUUAGCUAGUUGGUGAGGUAAUGGCUCACCAAGGCGACGAUCCCUAGCUGGUUUGAGAGGAUGAUCAGCCACCCUGGAACUGAGACACGGUCCAGACUCCUACGGGAGGCAGCAGUGGGGAAUAUUGGACAAUGGGCGCAAGCCUGAUCCAGCCAUGCCGCGUGUGUGAAGAAGGCCUUCGGGUUGUAAAGCACUUUCAGUAGGGAGGAAGCGUUGUGUGUUAAUAGUACACAGCGUUGACGUUACCUACAGAAGAAGCACCGGCUAACUCUGUGCCAGCCGCCGCAGUAAGAC